rnacentral:antisense_RNA from 10 species
AAUAGCCAAGAAUAACUCUCGGAUCUAAAGUUGGAUUGACUAGUCUGACUUCACCACCACCAGGUGCCCAUGUGUCAUAUGCACCGCCAAUAAAACACCAGUUUACUGACCAUGCUAGUGCACCUACACCCAAAACAAUCAAAUGAUAUCCAAGGAUGUUUGUCAUUUGGUUUUUAUCUCUCCA